GCCUGACCUCCUCGGAAUGCACCUGAGUAGGACUCAGCCUCAUUUUGCCUAGCCCCUGCUCAAGAUAGAGUCACUCUGGUUGGAAGGCCUUUGGCAAUAGGAUUGGCAACUCAGAGAAAGCUGGUCCCUGGCAUGGGCAUCUCUCCCAAGGCAUUCUUCCAAAGCUGAUGGCACUAAGGCUGAACCCAGAAGCUGCAGCAGUGGACGGAUGAUGAUCUGAAGAAAUGAGAUCCCUGAUGGGCUUGGAAGUCAUGGUUCCUGUAACCAUGAUGUCACACCCUCGUCCUGACACCGAGAUGGGCUGGACACAUCUGUCACCCAGGGCAAACAAAAUGCUUGGUCUGCAUCUUUCAGAAGAAAACUAAAAAUCAAGUAAUUUCUUAGAAGUUUGCUUGCGUGUGGCUUAAGUCUUCUUCUCCUGUUGAGGAAGGUGUUGAGUUUGACCAUGACAGCCCCACCCAGUCCUUGGCUCAUCUCACCCAUCAAAGAGGAUCUGGAGAUUCAGAGCUAUGCCGUGGAAGACCUUGUCAGAGCACCAGGCCAUACUGUGCUGCAGGUGGGGUUCAGGUGCCCAGUGACAACCACCGGGGCCGCUCAUCCCUAAACGUCUGUUGAACUUAAAGUUCUACUCAAGACUUUCUACAUUAAAUACCCUUUCAUACAGCAAAAUCAGCCAUGUUCUGAGAUGUGAAACUGCAGCACAAAGUUACUGUGGUCUCCACCUAUAGAAAUGGAAUGUUACUUCAUAAAGCCCCAGGCCAAAAAAGAAACCCCAAAACUCUGAAACGACACCCUUAAAUUUAACCUGAACAUCUGGCCAGCCUCCUCCAUCAUUGAAACUUCUCCUGAGUGUUGGCAUGGAUCCUAUGUUUCUCCAGCCAGGGAGCUUUGCUCCCCAUUCUUGAUGGACCCACUGAGUCCCAAUUUUCUACAUUUUACUUGGGUCAUUCCACCACUUUGGGAUGCUUUUCCUACUCUGUUGUACUUUAAAAAUGUUUCUUCUUUCCUAUUCUCAGCUUCACGCAUUUGUCUUCUUUCUCAAUUCAACUUGCUUAGUUCUCGCUACAUCAAUUCCUAGAGCCAUCCAUCUGCACUUCUGAAUCAUUUAAGUUUUGUUUGGCUACAAGUAAUGGAAACCCACUCUGAGUAACUCAAGCAAGAACUGGAAUUUAUUGGAAGGACAGUGGGAUAUAUCAUAAGAUCCAAAAAGAAUUGAACAAAUAAAAUUUCAGAGGGAAGAAAAAGGGCAGCUCCAGUGACUUCAGCAACAAGACAACAUAAGUCUUUCUAGAGCAUAGCUACUAAUAUUAUUCAGCUGCAAGAGCCCCUCCCCAUGAGAAACUUGAUUGAAAAUUCUGAUUUCCCACAGAGAAGAAUCUGAUCGACUCAGUUUAGCUUUGGUUGCCCAACUGCUCAAUCUUGCAUGAAUUAUUUCCAGCCAAGGGGACAAGGUGUAUUAUAGGGACACACCUGCUUUCUCCAAAGAAAAGAUCUGGGCAUUUCCUGAUCAUUUCCCUGAGAAGGAGGAAUCAUUGUGAGCCAAGAAGAUACCUCAAGUAUAAUGAGCUCAGUUACACUUUUUUGAUAUCUGAGUAUUUGGUAUGUAGUGUGCAUUUUAAAAAACAUGUCUCUCUCCAGGACAAUGUUAACCUCUUCCACGGUGGAGUGGGGCUAUGUGAUUUUGUGCUUAAUUUACCUAGCUGGUGGGC
rnacentral:lncRNA from 10 species